rnacentral:lncRNA from 1 species
UUCUGCAGCAGCUGGGUAGAGGAUGAAACAUGACUGUUUACCAAAUGAUAGCAGAUGGUCAACUCUGAAAGAGACUGAGAUCCAAUAAUGAACAAUGAAGACAUUGGGAGAGGGACCCUGCAUCUUGCCUGGACCACACAGCAGAGGAGGCCCCGACGGUGGGGGCACAGAUUUUCUUUGAAGAACAACCCCACAGCUAAACAGAAAAAAACAAAACAAAACAAAAAGCAAAAACAAAACAAACAAAAAAACCAAUUCUCCAAAAGCCACUGCCAUAUGACAACCUAACCCUUCUCAGAUAGCAUCGCUUCACAAGAACAUGGCGGCGGCGUAACUGUGGAAAGAAGCAGUCUAGUCUCCUAAGAAGCAUCUUGAUCAGUUUAAGCCGAUGGCGCUGUAGAUGCAUGUGCAAAGCCACAUCAUUUCCACUGCUUUUCCAUCAUUACAAACUUCUUCUUCUAGAAGCUGCCUGUUUUCUUGUAUUGUCCACCAACUGCCAAUUCUUUGAUGCAGUGAUAUGCUAUGUUUUUAUUUAAUUUGGCCAAGUCUAAAUAAAAAAGCUACACUGAGUGAAUAAUAAAGGAUGGAUGGAUGGAUGGAUGGAUGGAUGGAUGGAUGGAU